UACGGAGGGUGCAAGCGUUAUCCGGAUUCACUGGGUUUAAAGGGUGCGUAGGUGGGCAGGUAAGUCAGUGGUGAAAUCUCCGAGCUUAACUCGGAAACUGCCGUUGAUACUAUUUGUCUUGAAUAUUGUGGAGGUAAGCGGAAUAUGUCAUGUAGCGGUGAAAUGCUUAGAUAUGACAUAGAACACCAAUUGCGAAGGCAGCUUACUACACAGUUAUUGACGCUGAGGCACGAAAGCGUGGGGAUCAAACAGG
rnacentral:rRNA from 1 species